GGGGCUGGUUCUGAGCUGUCUCCUGUAUUGAAACCCGGCUGGAAGGCCACGUGAGCAGCAGUGGGCGGCCGUGGAGUGACUGGGAGAUGGUGGCCAGUGGCGUGCUUCUGGCAGGCUCUGAGAUGGGCCGGCGCCUACAGAGCAUCAUUAUUAAUGACUUGCAGGAGGUGAUGAGCAGAACAUUAAUUAAACGUGCACAUGUGGCCAAGUGGGAAAUUGGCGGCGAAAACACCAGAGAGGCAGGCACGUAAUACCCAGAUGAGGAAACUGAGUCCCAGAGGAGUGGAGUACCUUGCUGAAGUUCACCCAGCACCUCCUGGAGCUGAAACCUCAGCUGGAACAGCUCAAGUAUUAAUGCCAGGUUAAGCUGCACUUUCUGCGUAAGAACCAACUUUGGCUUUGCAGGUCAGACUGAG